rnacentral:rRNA from 1 species
GACGAACGCUGGCGGCGUGCUUAACACAUGCAAGUCGAACGGCAAGGCCCUGCUAUUGUGGGGUGCUCGAGUGGCGAACGGGUGAGUAACACGUGAGUAACCUGCCCUUGACUUUGGGAUAACUUCAGGAAACUGGGGCUAAUACCGGAUAGGAGCUCCUGCUGCAUGGUGGGGGUUGGAAAUUUGCGGCGGUUGGGGAUGGACUCGCGGCUUAUCAGCUUGUUGGUGGGGUAGUGGCUUACCAAGGCUUUGACGGGUAGCCGGCCUGAGAGGGUGACCGGCCACAUGGGGACUGAGAUACGGCCCAGACUGCUACGGGAGGCAGCAGUGGGGAAUAUUGCACAAGGGGCGGAAGCCUGAUGCAGCAACGCCGCGUGCGGGAUGACGGCCUUCGGGUUGUAAACCGCUUUCGCCUGUGACGAAGCGUGAGUGGCGGUAAUGGGUAAAGAAGCACCGGCUAACUACGUG